rnacentral:rRNA from 1 species
UACGGGGGGGGCAAGCGUUGUUCGGAAUUACUGGGCGUAAAGGGCUCGUAGGCGGCCAACUAAGUCAGACGUGAAAUCCCUAGGCUCAACCUAGGAACUGCGUCUGAUACUGGAUGGCUUGAAUCCGGGAGAGGGAUGCAGAAUUCCAGGUGUAGCGGUGAAAUGCGUAGAUAUCUGGAGGAAUACCGGUGGCGAAGGCGGCAUCCUGGACCGGCAUUGACGCUGAGGAGCGGAAGCCAGGGGAGCAAACGGG